UGCGGCGGCCAUGGCCCAGGUGAGACGCCCGGUCCCAUUCCGAACCCGGAAGCUAAGGCCUGGCACGGCGAUGGUACUGCACCCGACAGGGUGUGGGAGAGUAGCACGCCGCCGCA
rnacentral:rRNA from 12 species